CACGAAAAGAGGGUCUUCUGUGUAAAUACUUAAAAAACUCAAAAACUGGUUUUGGAUAAUGCAUAAACUAAACGAGAGGUGGUUACUCUGUUUUCAACAAAAACAUGAUGAACACACUUCAAUCUUUUCGGACAUCUUUAACACCAAAUGUUCUGUCCAAUGCCUCAAGACGUUCAAUUUCCAGAACCCAGUUUCUCUGUCUCUCCAAGUCCGGAGAUGGAACGGGUUCAGAUUCUGGUCCCGAUCAUCCAAAGCCCGAAGGAGAUACUCGGAGACAAGAGCUCUUAGCCAGGAUCGCCAUGCUUCAGACAUCGAAAGUCCGUUUAACUAAUUUCCUGGACGAACGGUCAGAUUACCUCACCAAGUUUGCUGAAGAAGCCAACGCUGAGUUUGACAAGGUUGGUGAAGACGCCAUGAAGGACCUCGACGAAGCAAGCUCAAGGAUACUAGAGAAUAUUGAGAGCAAGAUGCAAGCGUUCGAGGAAUCUGCGGGAUUGAACAGGUUGGAGAUAGAGGAGAGCGAUAACAAGUUGGCCGAGUUCGAGGAGAAGAUCGUCGAAGGCAGGAACGAAGGACUGUUCUUCAAGAGCUUUCGCGGUAAAAAGCCUGUUGAUGUGGAGAAAGCCAAAGAGGAGACAGAGAGAAUACAAGAGGUGACCAAAGUAAGCGCAGGAUCAAAGUCAAGAAGGAACGUUUACCUCGGUUUGAUUGGGAUCUUGGUUCUAGCAAUUGCUGAUUCGUUUGUUUCUUCGCCGGACUGGAGAAAAGUCUCGGUUCUUGGUGUUAUACUUGUUGCACUGCUCACUCAGUUCGUCUACGAGCAGACAUUGUUAUCAGAAGAAGCAGAUAAUGGUAAAGGAAAAGAGAAGAAGUGAAUGAGAAAUAUGAAGUAAAACUCAAAGUUAGCAAAUAUAGGAAGCGCAAACAAACCCAUUAUUAUUGAAUUUCAUCAUCGUGGCAACUACUUCAUUAAGUUUCUGAGACAUUCCUGGGAUCAUCAAAGCUGCUUCGUCAAACAACUGGGCUCUGAGUUCACCUGAGAUUCGAUCUCUGGGAGAAGCUGUAGAUAAUUCCGACACUGACUGG